CUCCUUCUUCUCCCUCUUUACUUUCUUUUCCUUCUUCUUUUCAUGCUCAUCAUUGUCACUAUUGUAGGGACAAUUCGCUACAAUGUGAUCCUUGCUCUUGCAUUUGUAGCAUCUUCUCACAUAUUCUUUGCUCUUAUUUUGAUCUCUUCUUUUUCUUGCACCAUAGCCCUUCUUCUUCAUAAAUUUGUCAAACUUGCGCACAAAGAGAGCUAGUGCUUCAUCAUCAAUGUCACUAACUUCCUCAACUUCACUUGAUUCUUCUUUCUUUGCUUUGCCCUUGUUCUUGGAUGAACUAGCCUUGAAUGCCACACUUUUAUUUUUCUUGUCUUCAUCCUUUUUCUCAUCUUGGUCAACCCCUUCCCUUUCCACAUAGUAUGUCU
rnacentral:lncRNA from 1 species